UACGGAGGGUGCGAGCGUUAAUCGGAAUAACUGGGCGUAGAGGGCACGCAGGCGGGGUUUUAAGUGAGAUGUGAAAUCCCCGGGCUUAACCCGGGAAUAGCAUUUCAGACUUGGAGACUAGAGUACUUUAGGGAGGGGUAGAAUUCCACGUGUAGCGGUGAAAUGCGUAGAGAUGUGGAGGAAUACCGAAGGCGAAGGCAGCCCCUUGGGAAUGUACUGACGCUCAUGUGCGAAAGCGUGGGGAGCAAAAAGG
rnacentral:rRNA from 1 species